UUGAUCCUGGCUCAGAUUGAACGCUGGCGGCAUGCCUUACACAUGCAAGUCGAACGGCAGCACGGGUGCUUGCACCUGGUGGCGAGUGGCGAACGGGUGAGUAAUACAUCGGAACAUGUCCUGUAGUGGGGGAUAGCCCGGCGAAAGCCGGAUUAAUACCGCAUACGAUCUACGGAUGAAAGCGGGGGACCUUCGGGCCUCGCGCUAUAGGGUUGGCCGAUGGCUGAUUAGCUAGUUGGUGGGGUAAAGGCCUACCAAGGCGACGAUCAGUAGCUGGUCUGAGAGGACGACCAGCCACACUGGGACUGAGACACGGCCCAGACUCCUACGGGAGGCAGCAGUGGGGAAUUUUGGACAAUGGGCGAAAGCCUGACCAGCAAUGCCGCGUGUGUGAGAGGCCUUCGGGUUGUAAAGCACUUUUGUCCG
rnacentral:rRNA from 1 species